CCCUUAGAUGUUCUGGGCCGCACGCGCGCUACACUGACGAAGUCAGCGAGCAUGUCCUACGCCGACAGGUGCGGGGAAUCUUGUCAAACUUCGUCGUGAUGGGGAUUGAUUUUUGAAAUUCUUGAUCAUAAACGAGGAAUUCCUAGUAAGCGCAAGUCAGCAGCUUGCGUUGAUUACGUCCCUGCCCUUUGUACACACCGCCCGUCGCCACUACCGAUUGAAUGGUUUAGUGAGAUCUUCGGAUUGGCGCCACUGCAGCUCAGCAAUGGGCUUGGUGGAUGCCGAAAAGUUGAUCAAACUUGAUCAUUUAGAGGAAGUAAAAGUCGUAACA
rnacentral:rRNA from 1 species